rnacentral:rRNA from 1 species
CACGUAGGGCGCGAGCGUUGUCCGGAAUUAUUGGGCGUAAAGAGCUCGUAGGCGGCCUGUUGCGUCCGCUGUGAAAGCCCCGGGCUCAACCUGGGAAUGGCGAUGGAUACUGGCUCGCUAGAGUGCGGUAGAGGAGAGUGGAAUUCCCGGUGUAGCAGUGAAAUGCGUAGAGAUCGGGAGGAACAUCAGUUGCGAAGGCGGCUCUCUGGACCAGCACUGACACUGAGGCACGAAAGCGUGGGGAGCAAACAGG